rnacentral:rRNA from 1 species
UACGUAGGGGGCAAGCGUUGUCCGGAAUCAUUGGGCGUAAAGAGCGUGUAGGCGGCCCGGUAAGUCCGCUGUGAAAGUCCAGGGCUCAACCCUGGGAUGCCGGUGGAUACUGUCGGGCUAGAGUCCGGAAGGGGCGAGUGGAAUUCCUGGUGUAGCGGUGAAAUGCGCAGAUAUCAGGAGGAACACCGAUGGCGAAGGCAGGUCUCUGGGCCAUAACUGACGCUGAGAAGCGAAAGCAUGGGGAGCGAACAGG